rnacentral:rRNA from 1 species
UCCGUAGGGUGAACCUGCGGAGGGAUCAUUACUGAGUUUACGCUCUACAACCCUUUGUGAACAUACCUAUAACUGUUGCUUCGGCGGGUAGGGUCUCCGCGACCCUCCCGGCCUCCCGCCUCCGGGCGGGUCGGCGCCCGCCGGAGGAUAACCAAACUCUGAUUUAACGACGUUUCUUCUGAGUGGUACAAGCAAAUAAUCAAAACUUUUAACAACGGAUCUCUUGGUUCUGGCAUCGAUGAAGAACGCAGCGAAAUGCGAUAAGUAAUGUGAAUUGCAGAAUUCAGUGAAUCAUCGAAUCUUUGAACGCACAUUGCGCCCGCCAGCAUUCUGGCGGGCAUGCCUGUUCGAGCGUCAUUUCAACCCUCAAGCUCUGCUUGGUGUUGGGGCCCUACAGCUGAUGUAGGCCCUCAAAGGUAGUGGCGGACCCUCCCGGAGCCUCCUUUGCGUAGUAACUUUACGUCUCGCACUGGGAUCCGGAGGGACUCUUGCCGUAAAACCCCCAAUUUUCCAAAGGUUGACCUCGGAUCAGGUAGGAAUACCCGCUGAACUUAAGCAUAUCAAUAAGCGGAGGA